CAAAGGUAGCAUAAUCAUUAGUUUCUUAAUUGGAAGCUUGUAUGAAUGAUUGAACAAGAAAAAAACUGUUUCUAUUAUAUUAUUUGAAUUUAACUUUUAAGUUAAAAGGCUUAAAUAAACUAGAGGGACGAUAAGACCCUAUAAAUCUUUAUAUAUAAAGAUUUUUAUAUAAAUAAAUUAUAAAGUAAGGAUUGUUUAAUAUAUUUAAUUGGGGUGAUUUAAUUAAAAUUGAAUAAUUAAUUAAUUAAUUAUAACAUUUUGUUUGAAUAAAAUAUUGAUCCUGGUUAAGGAUUAUAAAUUAAGUUACUUUAGGGAUAACAGUGUAAUUUUUUUUAAGAGUUCAUAUUGAAAAAAAAGAUUACAACCUCGAUGUUUAAUUAAAAAUUCUUUAUAGUGCAACAGUUAUAAAAGAGGGUCUGU
rnacentral:rRNA from 1 species